UUUCCGUAGGUGAACCUGCGGAAGGAUCAUUCAUAAUAAAGUGUUUUAUGGCACUUUUUAAAAAUCCAUAUCCACCUUGUGUGCAGUGUUAGAUCUCGUCAAUCUAGGCGAGAUUUUUAUACAUCAACUCAUUCUUUAACUAAUUUGUCUGAAAAAUAUUAUGAAUACUUAUUUCAAAAUACAACUUUCAACAACGGAUCUCUUGGCUCUC
rnacentral:misc_RNA from 1 species